rnacentral:rRNA from 1 species
GAUGAACGCUGGCGGCGUGCCUAAUACAUGCAAGUCGAGCGAACGGACGAGAAGCUUGCUUCUCGGAUGUUUGCGGAGGACGGGAGAGUCACACGUGGAUAACCUACCUAUAAGACUGGGAUCAUUUCGGGAAACCGUAGCUAAUCCCGGAUAAUAUUUUGAACCGCAGGGUUCAAAAGUGAAAGACGGUCUUGCUGUCACUAAUAGCUGCAUCCGAGCUGCAUUAGCUAGUUGUUAGGGUAACGGCUUACCAAGGCAACGAGGCCUAACCGAAGUGACAGAGUGGUCGGCCACACGGGAACUGAGACGCGGUCCAGACGCCUGCGAGAGGCAGCAGUAGGGAAUGGUCGGCAGUGGGCGAAAGCAUGACGGAGCAACGCCACGUGAGUGGUGAAGGUCUUCGGAUCGUAAAGCUCGGUUAUGAGGUAAGAACAUAUGUGGAAGUAAAUGUGCACAUCGUGACGGUACCGAAUCAGAAAGCCACGGCUAACUACGUG